rnacentral:rRNA from 1 species
UUGCUCCCUGAUUCAGCGGCGGACGGGUGAGUAAUGCCUAGGAAUCUGCCUGGUAGUGGGGGACAACGUCUCGAAAGGGACGCUAAUACCGCAUACGUCCUACGGGAGAAAGUGGGGGCUCUUCGGACCUCACGCUAUCAGAUGAGCCUAGGUCGGAUUAGCUAGUUGGUGAGGUAAUGGCUCACCAAGGCGACGAUCCGUAACUGGUCUGAGAGGAUGAUCAGUCACACUGGAACUGAGACACGGUCCAGACUCCUACGGGAGGCAGCAGUGGGGAAUAUUGGACAAUGGGCGAAAGCCUGAUCCAGCCAUGCCGCGUGUGUGAAGAAGGUCUUCGGAUUGUAAAGCACUUUAAGUUGGGAGGAAGGGUUGUACGUUAAUACCGUGCAAUUUUGACGUU